UGGGGAAUAUUGGACAAUGGGCGAAAGCCUGAUCCAGCCAUGCCGCGUGUGUGAAGAAGGUCUUCGGUCUGUAAAGUACUUUAAGGUGGGAGGAAGGGCAGUAAGCGAAUACCUUGCUGGUUUGACGUUACCGACAGAAUAAGCACCGGCUAACUCUGUGCCAGCAGCCGCGGUAAUACAGAGGGUGCAAGCGUUAGUCGGAAUUACUGGGCGUAAAGCGCGCGUAGGUGGUUCGUUAAGUUGAAUGUGAAAGCCCCGGGCUCAACCUAGGAACUGCAUCCAAAACUGGCGAGCUGGAGUAGGGCAGAGGGUGGUGGGAUUUCCUGUGUAGCGGUGAAAUGCGUAGAUAUAGGAAGGAACACCAGUGGCGGAGGCGACCACCUGGGCUCAUACUGACACUGAGGUGCGAAAGCGUGGGGAGCAAACAGG
rnacentral:rRNA from 1 species